rnacentral:rRNA from 1 species
AGCAGUAGCCGCGGUAAUACGAAGGGGGCUAGCGUUGCUCGGAAUGACUGGGCGUAAAGGGCGCGUAGGCGGUUUGGACAGUCAGAUGUGAAAUUCCUGGGCUUAACCUGGGGGCUGCAUUUGAUACGUUCAGGCUUGAGUGUGGAAGAGGGUCGUGGAAUUCCCAGUGUAGAGGUGAAAUUCGUAGAUAUUGGGAAGAACACCGGUGGCGAAGGCGGCGACCUGGUCCAUUACUGACGCUGAGGCGCGAAAGCGUGGGGAGCAAACAGGAUUAGAGACCCCAGUAGUCCCUGUCUCUUAUAC